rnacentral:rRNA from 1 species
UACGUAGGGUGCGAGCGUUGUCCGGAAUUACUGGGCGUAAAGAGCUUGUAGGCGGUUUGUCGCGUCUGCUGUGAAAUUUCGGGGCUCAACCCCGAACUUGCAGUGGGUACGGGCAGACUAGAGUGUGGUAGGGGAGACUGGAAUUCCUGGUGUAGCGGUGAAAUGCGCAGAUAUCAGGAGGAACACCGAUGGCGAAGGCAGGUCUCUGGGCCACUACUGACGCUGAGAAGCGAAAGCAUGGGGAGCGAACAGG